rnacentral:rRNA from 1 species
UAAACCGGAGGAAGGUGGGGAUGACGUCAAGUCCUCAUGGCCUUUAUGACCAGGGCUACACACGUACUACAAUGGCCGAUACAAAGGGCAGCGACACUGCGAGGUGAAGCCAAUCCCGUAAAAUCGGUCUCAGUCCGGAUUGGAGUCUGCAACUCGACUCCAUGAAGUUGGAAUCGCUAGUAAUCGUGGAUCAGCAUGCCACGGUGAAUACGUUCCCGGGCCUU